UUCAAGAAGGCGCCACCUUUGAAGUGGAUUACCUCAUGAGACACCAUGUCUCCUCGCACCUCGGCAUUGGCUUUCCCAGGCUCUAGGACCGUGACUGAUAGAUAUAUUUUUGGUGUUUGUAAGCUAGCUUUGGCUGUAGUCUUUUGUUAUAGCAGCACACAUGGGCCAAGACAGUGCUAAAAGGCUCAGUGAACUUGGGUGCUCGCUGUAGGCACAGUCUUGUGGGGUUGGUACCUGAUGGACAGAAAGAUGAAAUCUGUGCAGCUCUCUCUGGAGGAUGGUGCUGCUCAGGAGAGGCACAGCAAGGAGAAAUCUGAACAUCACUAGCCUGCUGUCAUUCCUGUGUCUGGAUGACGCUGUAAACAAUCAAGCUUAUUUAUCAGCCAUCUGCUCAAGGAAUUGCAUGAAGCAUCAAGAUAAAUUUUCAUCUCAAAAGAGAGAGAAGAUGCCUCUUGCCACGGGAGCACGUGACCGCCUGCAUUUCACAGAAGCCCCAGUGAAGAAGUGGCUGUUGGAUCAGUUGAGAACUUCGCUUGAGGGUUGUCACUGAGGCAGCAAACCCUGAAAUGGGCUGGCACAUGCUCAUGCCAGGCUCUGUUUAAUGAACACAUUGUUACCAGUAGCUCCACUCCGUCCGUAUUUAUAGCACAGGAUUUUGCUAAAAGCCUAUGAUGAAACAUUAUGCAGAAUUUCAUGCAAAAUGUUUCUAAAAGGACUUAUAGUUAUGGAAGCUUGUCACUGAUACAAUGACAGGAAAUAAAAACAGGACACACACAUAGACAUAUUUUUACACAAACAUGUACAUAUGUCUGUGUCUGUAUCUUUACACACAAGACUAAAAGUCUGGCUACCCUUGGAUCAUCGAGUUGUAGAUGACUUGGGGUUUUUAUUCAUUGGUAUUUCACAUUUUGCUACCAUGAUUAUAUAGUGGUUUCUGUGUCACUGUAUCUUAUAAUCAGAAUAUGAAGACAAAAUCAUCUUUAAAAUGACUUCUUUCUGUUCCUGCCUUACCGUAGGAUUAUAGGAAUGUGCCACUGUGACUGCCUAAUGCUGUAUCCGAUCAUGUCACCUGUGGGGUGUGUCACAAAAAUGGCUUUUGAAGGUCUCUGCCCUCUUCUAGAGAGCUGUGCGAAUGUGUCUGCAGCAGGUGGACUGCAGGUGUUGCCCAUUGCUCGGCCUGCUCCCUGUGUUGGGGGAGGAGAUAGGCCUGCAGGGAACAUCUCCCAGCCCACGAGGAAGGGGGAGGCAGGUGAGUCUGGCAGUCAGAUGGCCUCCUGGAUUUGGGGGUGCCACUGUGUUUUGGUUCCAAACAGUUCUGCUUUGUUCUGGCUUCCUUUGUGUUACCCUUCAAUCCUCCACACACCAACAGAGAAGCUCUCCUUUUGAUGCAAUUCGAAUCAACCCACCAGCGUGCUUAUUUAUCGGGGUCUUGUCAAGAAAGGGUGGAAAGGGGGGGUCACAGCAGCAGCAUCCAGGAAUGAGAAGCGUCAUUAUGUUAUUGCGCCAUACUGGCUAGAGUGGGGUCAAAGGGUAAAUACCAGCAAGAAGCAAAGGUUGUCCAAGGGAUGUGUCAGCCUGAAGGACGUGAAAGACUGAGGUCCACUCAUAGCCUCUAGUGAGGGUGCGAUUCCUGGGAGACGGUAGAGGGCACUAGGGGACACAGGUGGGAGGCAGGCAGAGAAGAGAGGUCACUUCUCAAGGGCCACAUCAGUGGGACCACAUGGGACUCCUUAGCAAAGGAAAGAAACACUUCGCAUAGUUCUCUGAAGCCUGCAGUUAGGCCUUGCCUGCUGAAGGUGGAGUGUUCUUUCUGAUGGUGGACUCUAUCUUCAGGGCAGAGGCAUCAGGAGAGGUUAGAAGUUGCUAUGGCAAACGUGAGGUGCCCCCCCCACAGCCUCAUGUGUUUGGUCACUUGGUCCCAGCUGGUGGUGCUGUUUGGGGAGGUUGUGGGGCCUCUAGGGUGGGAGGCAUAGCUGGUGGAGGGAGGUCAUGGGGGUGAGCCUUAGGGGGCGAUAGCUUGGCCUGCUUCCUGACCAGGCUGUCUACUUCCUGAUCAACGCCAUAUGAGAACCUGCUGCUGUGAGCUCCUGCUGCUGUAGACUUGGUGAUUCCAGCCACCAUGCUUUCUACACCAUAUUGGGCCUUUCUACACCACAUCUCAAGCCUGAGUCCAAACAAAUGUCUCAUCCCUUAAGAAACAACACGAAAAACUAACCCAGGCACGUCAUCCUAAACCCCCAGAUGAUGAUGAUGAUGUAGGCAUGGCAACCAGGACCACUUCAGCCAAAGUGGACAUCCACUGGCUUCAUAUUGUGCUAUACAGGCGUGGAGAGCAGUCUGUCUUCUGGGGUGGGAAAGGGUUACACUUCGCUAAGGGUAAGUUGAGGCAGAGCCUCUCGAGAAUGCAGCCUCCAAAGUUCUCCAGAGCCAAGAGUAAGGCUACUUGUAGGCCAAGGCCAGAGGGGGCCAGAGGAUAUGUUAGAAGGUCUUAUUUGGGUAACUUAAUUAUGCAACAGUGUGUUUUCAUUGUGAUGUUUCUAUGUGAUUUUUGUUUCUCUGAAGUGAUUAUUCAGUUACUUAAUGUUUAUUGAGUAAACGAGGUUUCACAGGUCAAGUUUCAGAUGUAGUUAUUAUAAAUAUUGCCAUCAAUAUUAAUUAUCGGGACAUGUAUUCAUAUGUUACAGGCUUUCGCACUCAUGAGACACUUUCAAUGUAAAAUCACAUUUACUAUGAUACAGCAAUCUGUGAGAUCAGGAUUUAUUUUCUCCACAUGGACAGACGACAAGAAUGAGGUGAGACACAUCCAAAGCUACAUAGCCACCAAGAUGCAGAACUGAGGUUUUAUUCUAUUUUGAAAUUAAUUUUCUUAGCAUACUGUAAACAGACGUUUCCUGUCCUGACCACCUGGUCCCCAAUAACCACACAGAGGCUGAAUAUUACUCAUAAGUGGUUGGCCCAUAGUUCAGACUUGUUACUAACUAGCUCUUACAUUUUAAGUUAAUCCAUAGUCCUUAUUUACACUCUGCCACAUGGCAGUACCUGUAUUAGCGUGGCACGUUCAUCUCCUGCAUCUGGCUGGGGAUUGCCCCGCAUAUACUUCCUGCCUGGCUACUGGCCAAUCAGCAUUUUAUUAAACCAAUUUGAAUGACAAAUCUUUGCAGUGUCUAAGAGGAUUACUCCACAGCAGCAUGCAAAACAAUGGGGCUCAUUAGGGCACUUUUACACACAUGCAUCACGAUAGCAUGUCUGUCCUAUUUACACCCCACUAUCCUUACCUGUACUUCCUUGCUCCGGGCUGGUGUCCCUCCCUUACUGCUUCCUCUCCCCUUUGCUUUCUCAUCACAUGUACAUUCUAAAUCUGGAGUCUGCCCAUGGAAGACAAACAAGAUAUUUUGUUUCUUGUGGAAUUAGACUUCUAAAAAUGUUUAUUUCAUUAAUAAUAAUUCAUUUAUUUAAUGUGUAUGUUUGUGUGAGUCUAUGUGCCCCACGUGCAUGCAGGGGCCCUUGGAGGCCAGAAGAGGUUAUCAGAUCUCCUGGAUCUGGAGUUACGGGUAGUUGUGGGCUGUUGUGGGGAUGCCGAGAGCCAAACUCAGGUCCUCUGUAAGAGCAAUGCUUUAAUACCUGCUGCAUGCCAAGUGUGGAGCCAGGCACUGGGGUCCAGUGGGUCGUGAGACAGAGUGGACCCUGCUGUCACACAGCCCGGAAGGGAGACAGGCCUGCCACAGGAGGAAACUCACGCCUGCUACUGUAAAUCUGGCUGAGAACCCUCGGAGAUCCACGGUUGGGGAAUUGUUAAUGCCCAGAGGACAACGUACUACAGUUGUUUUGCUAAUUGGAAAUAACAUCAAAUUGUCCUCUAACUUUGUAUCUCUACACCUAGACAAGGGCAGUUCUCCGAUCUUAAGAGAAAAGUUCCUUUGUGCAGUGGAGGACAGCUAAUGCAGAAACACACAAGCUGUCGAUGUGCAGUGCAGUGCUCAGCCAGCCACAAAUGGGACAGCUAUAUCACACCCCUUCUCCCUGAGGCUCAGGGGCCAUCAUGGAGAGGUGGCAGAAGAGGGGACAAAAAACCUGUAAGAUCCAGAGGUGGGUCGAUGGGAGUGAAACAUUGCCUUCUGGACAUAACCUGAUGCUCUGAGAUUCACUCCAAACUAUGGUGUGUGUCUAGACUCCCAAGUGACUUGCAAAUCAUCCUUCAGGACAUUUCUUCCUGCUUUCUGGACUGGCUCAUCUGAAAUCCAAGUUCUGUCUGCAGGACUGGAACCUUUUUCAUUGAGUGACUAUGAUACAAACUUUCUAAGAUGCUAACAGACUGUGGCAGAGUGUGCAGGUAACAGUUCCUACCAUUUAAGGAUUGACUGGGUACCAAGUGCUCCCCGUUAGGUCCCGUUUGGUUUGAAGAUACUCAUUGCUACUUUUCUGAUAAAGAAAGCAGGUUUUAUUUGAGGCUAAGAAAGUUGGAGGAGGGAGUCUGCCUCCAACCUCACCUGCUCUAAACAAUGCCACAGAGCAGCACAGAAACACUCAUUGCUGCCUUAUCCAUGGCGCCAGGUUCCUUCAACCCCAAUGUCAGCUGGAAGCGAAUCAUGCAGGAUGCCAGGGGUGGACUCUAAUGCAGGA